UUGGCUAAAACCUGUCAGGUAUUUGUGAAACUCUGUGAGUUUGGCAAUGUCAAUAAUUUUAGUAAUUUUGUUUAUUUUUAAUUUUUUUUCGAGGUUUUCCACCCAAAAACUAGAGGAUUUGAAAUUGUGGUCAAAACUUUAAAAUGAAAAGCUUGUUAAGUUUUCAUAAAAAAUUAUACUUUAAUUCAAAGUGUUGAACUAAAAAUUUAACUUCAAUCACCUAGUCUGCCUCCGUGCUACGCGAGACAAUCCUGGAUCGGAGCGAAGCUCGCGUGCGUCUCGAGAUCAUCACCGGUCUAAUUUAGUAGUUAACCAACGGAAUCGAUAUUGAUUGACGCAAGUGGCUCAGUUUCCUCGUAACAUCUAAUCAAUCCAGUUAGUAUAGCGCCGCUCGUUUAUAGAGUAUAAUGGUACCGUAUUUAUUGACAGAUAUUCACGUUUCUUAUAACCAGAUUUACUAGUCCCAGUAAAAAAAACUGCGUGUUUACAAGUUGCCUUUACACGGAGACUUGAAAAUAGUCACCAGCUCUCGCAAAUUGUUUUUCAUCGCUCUUGAAACAAACCGCCAAUUAUCAUAGAAUAUUAGCACACAGUCGCAUAAAACCGCCGUUUCUACUAUUUCCGAUAAUUAAACAGGUGACAUCAACUUUUGUUAGCAGUCAAUUUAUUACAUUAUGAAACUGAGCGUCAUAUCAACGGAUCUGAUGAGACUGUUAGUGUUAGUAGGAUAUUAGCGCUAGCCCCGCAAUUGUACCUUUAUCAGUUAGUUGCGAAGCCCGUGCAUAAAUAAACAGAAGGUCGAGUUCCAAAUAGGAGUGUAGCAGUAAGGCCUUUGCCUUCUAUCAACGGCUAUCAGAUCAGCGAGAGGAACGAUCUUUAAAAGCUACAAUAGCCAAGGCAUUGCCACCAGUGUAUGUCGGUUUGCCGAUUUUUCGUGGGUUUACCUUCUCACACAUUGACGAAAAUACUCAUGAAGUAUCAAUUAUAGUAACCCAUGUAGAACAAAUUUGACAGCUCUGUCAGUCGAGCUCUGAUCGUGAUGGCGAAAACAGUGACCGAGAGAAAAGAGGCUGCCGAGUGAAAAGUGGUUAUAUUGGAUUUGGACGCGAAACAAACAACGUAAUAUUUGAUCCAACAGCAACGGAUCAAUGAACAUUACCUUAUCACGAACCUUUCAAUGAACCUAGCUUUACUAACAAAAACUCAACGCACACCCAAGCUGAAGACGACUCGAAGUAUGCCAACUCAGAAAAUUGCCUAUUCUUUGGUGAGUUAAAUUUUUCGAAUCACAAAAUUAUUACGAAAAACGUGAAAUUCAGACUAAUUCAACAAAAACUCGUAUAUUAUAAUUGGCGCUGUUAAACAUUAAUUGUAUUUGUGCCGUGUCAAAUAAAUGGUAUGUGAAGAAAAAAAAAGUUUGAAGAAACAGAAAUUUUGUGUCUUCUACGAAGUUUCAUAAUAUUUUAUGAUCUAAAACUUUGUCGAAUACUGCAAACUUCUAGCGUGUAAGAAUGAAGAAUUGGUGUCGAAGUGCCUUCUCUGUGGCCUAACCGCGAAAUAAACAAAACUUCACACUGAAGCUCUUAUUUCAUCGAUCAACUUUGCUGAAGACUGCAAAUCGAUUGAAUGGAGUUUCAGAUCACAGGAUCGUGUA